AUUGAACGCUGGCGGCAGGCUUAACACAUGCAAGUCGAGCGGGGUGAUGGUGCUUGCACUAUCACUUAGCGGCGGACGGGUGAGUAAUGCUUAGGAAUCUGCCUAUUAGUGGGGGACAACAUCUCGAAAGGGAUGCUAAUACCGCAUACGUCCUACGGGAGAAAGCAGGGGAUCACUUGUGACCUUGCGCUAAUAGAUGAGCCUAAGUCGGAUUAGCUAGUUGGUGGGGUAAAGGCCUACCAAGGCGACGAUCUGUAGCGGGUCUGAGAGGAUGAUCCGCCACACGGGGACCGAGACACGGCGCAGACUCCUACGGGAGGCAGCAGUGGGGAAUAUUGGACAAUGGGGGGAACCCUGAUCUAGCCAUGCCGCGUGUGUGAAGAAGGCCUUAUGGUUGUAAAGCACUUUAAGCGAGGAGGAGGCUCUUUUGGUUAAUACCCAAGAUGAGUGGACGUUACUCGCAGAAUAAGCACCGGCUAACUCUGUGCCAGCAGCCGCAGUAA
rnacentral:rRNA from 1 species